CACUGCCCUCCAUCUUAAGGCGUUGCUGGAUUUUGAGGAUAAGAAUGGAGAGAAGGUGGUGGCAGGAGAUGAGUGGCUAUUUGAAGGACCUGGCACAUAUAUCCCCCAGAAGGAGGUGGAGGUCCUGGAGAUUAUCCAGGCCACGGUCAUCAGGCAGAACCAGGCCCUGCGGCUGAGGGCCCGCAAGGAGUGCUGGGACCGGGACGGCAAAGAGAGGGUGACAGGGGAAGAAUGGCUGGUGCGUUCCGUGGGGGCAUAUCUCCCGGGAGUGUUUGAGGAGGUUCUGGAUUUGGUGGACGCCGUGAUCCUCACAGAAAAGACGGCCCUGCACCUCCGGGCUCGGCAGAACUUCCGAGACUUGAGAGGAGUGACCCGUCGCACGGGGGAGGAGUGGCUGGUGACCGUGCAGGACACGGAGGCCCAUGUGCCAGACGUCUACGAGGAGGUGC